UGAGGAAUAUUGGUCAAUGGGCGAGAGCCUGAACCAGCCAAGUAGCGUGAAGGAUGACUGCCCUACGGGUUGUAAACUUCUUUUGUUUGGGAAUAAAGUUCAGCACGUGUGCUGUUUUGUAUGUACCAUUCGAAUAAGCAUCGGCUAAUUCCGUGCCAGCAGCCGCGGUAAUACGGAAGAUGCGAGCGUUAUCCGGAUUUAUUGGGUUUAAAGGGAGCGUAGGCGGGUUUUUAAGCCAGCUGUGAAAGUUUGCGGCUCAACCGUAAAAUUGCAGUUGGAACUGGAGACCUUGAGUGUGCAUAAGGUGGAUGGAAUUCGUGGUGUAGCGGUGAAAUGCUUAGAUAUCACGAAGAACUCCGAUUGCGAAGGCAGUCCACUGGGGCACUACUGACGCUGAGGCUCGAAAGUGCGGGUAUCAAACAGG
rnacentral:rRNA from 2 species